rnacentral:rRNA from 1 species
CAGCCGCGGUAAUACGAACCGUGCGAACGUUGUUCGGAAUCACUGGGCUUAAAGGGCGCGUAGGCGGCUUCGCAAGUCGGGGGUGAAAUCUUUCGGCUCAACCGGAAAAGUGCCCCCGAUACUGCGGGGCUCGAGGGGGAUAGGGGCGGACGGAACUUCCGGUGGAGCGGUGAAAUGCGUUGAUAUCGGAAGGAACGCCGGUGGCGAAAGCGGUCCGCUGGGUCCCUACUGACGCUGAGGCGCGAAAGCCAGGGGAGCAAACGGGAUUAGAUACCCCGGUAGUCCUGGCCCUAAACGAUGGGUACUAGGCUGUGGGCUUGACAUGGGCUCCCAGCCGAAGCAAAAGUGUUAA